rnacentral:rRNA from 1 species
UACGUAGGGGCCGAGCGUUGUCCGGAGUUACUGGGCGUAAAGCGCGCGCAGGCGGCUCGUCAAGCCUGACGUGAAAGCCCCCGGCUCAACCGGGGAGGGUCGUCGGGGACUGGCGGGCUUGAGGUCGGCAGGGGUUGGUGGAAUUCCCGGUGUAGUGGUGAAAUGCGUAGAGAUCGGGAGGAACCCCCGUGGCGAAGGCGGCCAACUGGGCCGGGCCUGACGCUGAGGCGCGAAGGCGUGGGGAGCGAACGGG